AUUGAACGCUGGCGGCAGGCCUAACACAUGCAAGUCGAGCGGAUGAAGGGAGCUUGCUCCUGGAUUCAGCGGCGGACGGGUGAGUAAUGCCUAGGAAUCUGCCUGGUCGUGGGGGAUAACGUCCGGAAACGGGCGCUAAUACCGCAUACGUCCUGAGGUAGAAAGUGGGGGAUCUUCGGACCUCACGCUAUCAGAUGAGCCUAGGUCGGAUUAGCUAGUUGGUGGGGUAAAGGCCUACCAAGGCGACGAUCCGUAACUGGUCUGAGAGGAUGAUCAGUCACACGGGAACUGAGACACGGUCCAGACUCCUACGGGAGGCAGCAGUGGGGAAUAUUGGACAAUGGGCGAAAGCCUGAUCCAGCCAUGCCGCGUGUGUGAAGAAGGUCUUCGGAUUGUAAAGCACUGUAAGUUGGGAGGAAGGGCAGUAAGUUAAUACCUUGCUGUUUUGACGUUACCAACAGAAUAAGCACCGGCUAACUUCGUG
rnacentral:rRNA from 1 species